GGAGAGAUGGCUGAGUGGACUAAAGCGGCGGAUUGCUAAUCCGUUGUACAAUUUUUUUGUACCGAGGGUUCGAAU
rnacentral:tRNA from 1 species